CAGUAGCCGCGGGAAUACGAGGGGGGCAAGCGUUGUUCGGAAUCAUUGGGCGUAAAGGGUGCGUAGGCGGUUUGAUAAGUCUGAUGUGAAAUCUAUGGGCUCAACCCAUAGUCUGCAUCGGAAACUGUCAGGCUUGAGAGUGGGAGAGGUGAGUGGAAUUUCCGGUGUAGCGGUGAAAUGCGUAGAUAUCGGAAGGAACACCUGUGGCGAAAGCGGCUCACUGGACCAUUUCUGACGCUGAUGCACGAAAGCUAGGGGAGCAAACAGGAUUAGAUACCCCUGUAGUCCCUGUCUCUUAUAC
rnacentral:rRNA from 1 species